GAAUUCGCCCUUAGAGUUUGAUCCUGGCUCAGGAUGAACGCUGGCGGCAUGCCUAAUACAUGCAAGUCGAACGAGAGGAAGGAAAGCUUGCUUUUCUGAAUCUAGUGGCGAACGGGUGAGUAACACGUAGGUAACCUGCCCAUGUGCCCGGGAUAACUUCUGGAAACGGAUGCUAAAACCGGAUAGGUAGCAGACAAGCAUUUGACUGCUAUUAAAGUGGCUUUGGCCAUGAACAUGGAUGGACCUGCGGUGCAUUAGCUGGUUGGUGAGGUAACGGCCCACCAAGGCGACGAUGCAUAGCCGGCCUGAGAGGGCGGACGGCCACAUUGGGACUGAGACACGGCCCAAACUCCUACGGGAGGCAGCAGUAGGGAAUUUUCGUCAAUGGGGGGAACCCUGAACGAGCAAUGCCGCGUGAGUGAGGAAGGUUUUCGGAUUGUAAACUCCUGUCGUUAGGGACGAUAAUGACGGUACCUAACAAGAAAGCACCGGCUAACUACGUGCCAGCAGCCGCGGUAAAACGUAGGGUGCAAGCGUUGUCCGGAAUUACUGGGUGUAAAGGGAGCGCAGGCGGGAAGACAAGUUGGAAGUGAAAACCAUGGGCUCAACCCAUGAAUUGCUUUCAAAACUGUUUUUCUUGAGUAGUGCAGAGGUAGAUGGAAUUCCCGGUGUAGCGGUGGAAUGCGUAGAUAUCGGGAGGAACACCAGUGGCGAAGGCGGUCUACUGGGCACCAACUGACGCUGAGGCUCGAAAGCAUGGGUAGCAAACAGGAUUAGAUACCCUGGUAGUCCAUGCCGUAAACGAUGAUUACUAGGUGUUGGGGGAUUGACCCCCUCAGUGCCGCAGUUAACACAAUAAGUAAUCCACCUGGGGAGUACGACCGCAAGGUUGAAACUCAAAGGAAUUGACGGGGGCCCGCACAAGCAGUGGAGUAUGUGGUUUAAUUCGAAGCAACGCGAAGAACCUUACCAGGUCUUGACAUCCGAUGUAUAGCACAGAGAUGUGUGAAAUCCUUCGGGACAUCGAGACAGGUGGUGCAUGGUUGUCGUCAGCUCGUGUCGUGAGAUGUUGGGUUAAGUCCCGCAACGAGCGCAACCCUUAUUGCCAGUUACUACGUUAAGAGGACUCUGGCGAGACUGCCGUUGACAAAACGGAGGAAGGUGGGGAUGACGUCAAAUCAUCAUGCCCUUUAUGACCUGGGCUACACACGUACUACAAUGGCGUUAAACAAAGAGAAGCAAAACCGCGAGGUGGAGCAAAACUCAAAAACAACGUCUCAGUUCAGAUUGCAGGCUGCAACUCGCCUGCAUGAAGUCGGAAUUGCUAGUAAUCGCGGAUCAGCAUGCCGCGGUGAAUACGUUCCCGGGCCUUGCACACACCGCCCGUCA
rnacentral:rRNA from 1 species